rnacentral:rRNA from 1 species
AGUGAACGCUGGCGGUAGGCUUAACACAUGCAAGUCGACCGGCAGCACAGUAAGAGCUUGCUCUUACGGGUGGCGAGUUACGGAAGUGUGAGGAAUACAUCGGAAUCUACUUUUUCGUGGGGGCUAACGUAGGGAAACUUACGCUAAUACCAUCUACGACCUAUGGGUGAAAGAAGCGCUUCUUCGGACCUUUGCGUAUCGUUUGCGCCGAUGUCGGAUUAGCUCGUUGGAGGGGUAAAGGCCCAACAAGGCGACGAACCGUAGCUGGUCUGAGAGGAUGAUCAGCCGCACUGGAACUGAGACACGCUCCAGACGCCUACAGGAAGCAGCAGUGGGGAAUAUUGGACAAUGGGCGCAAACCUGAGCCAGCCAUACCGCGUGUGUGAAGAAGGCCUUCGGGUUGUAAAACCAUUUUUUUGGGAAAGAAAAGCAGCAUGUGAAUACCCCACUAUACUGACGGUACCCAAAGAAUAAGCACCGGCUAACUUCGUG